rnacentral:rRNA from 1 species
AUUGAACGCUGGCGGCAGGCCUAACACAUGCAAGUCGAACGGUAACAGGAAACGGCUUGCUGUUUCGCUGUCGCGUGGCGGGCGGGUGAGACAUGUCUGUGACCCUGCUAGAUGGAGGGGGAAACCUCCUGGAAACGGUCGCUAAUACCGCAUAACGUCGCAACCCCAUAGUGCGGGACCUUCAGGCCUCUUUCCAUUCGCUGUUCCCAGAUGGGAUUAGCUAGUAGGUGGGGUAACGGCUCACCUAGGCGACGAUCCCUAGCUGGUCUGAGAGGAUGACCAGCCACACUGGAACUGAGACACGGUCCAGACUCCUACGGGAGGCAGCAGUGGGGAAUAUUGCACAAUGGGCGCAAGCCUGAUGCAGCCAUGCCGCGUGUAUGAAGAAGGCCUUCGGAUUGUAAAAUACUGUCAGUGGGGAGGAAGAGAGUAGUGUGAAUACCUGCACUCAUUGACGGUACCCGAAGAAGAAGCCCCGGCUAACUACGUG